rnacentral:rRNA from 1 species
GAUGAACGCUGGCGGCGUGCCUAAUACAUGCAAGUCGAGCGAACGGACGAGAAGCUUGCUUCUCUGAUGUUAGCGGCGGACGGGUGAGUAACACGUGGAUAACCUACCUAUAAUACUGUUAUAACUUCGGGAAACCGGAGCUAAUACCGGAUGAUAUUUUGAACCGCAUGGUUCAGAAGGGAAAGACGGUCUUGCUGUCACUUAUAGAUGGAUCCGCGCUGCAUUAGCUAGUUGGUAAGGUAACGUCUUACCAAGGCAACGAUGCAUAGCCGACCUGAGAGGGUGAUCGGCGAGACUGGAACUGAGACACGGUCCAGACUCCUACGGGAGGCAGCAGUAGGGAAUCUUACGCAAUGGGCGAAAGCCUGACGGAGCAACGGCGGGUGAGUGAUGAAGGUCUUCGGAUCGUAAAACUCUGUUAUUAGGGAAGAACAUAUGUGUAAGUAACUGUGCACAUCUUGACGGUAACUAAUCAGAAAGCCACGGCUAACUACGUG